AAAUUGAAGAGUUUGAUCAUGGCUCAGAUUGAACGCUGGCGGCAGGCCUAACACAUGCAAGUCGAACGGUAACAGGAAGCAGCUUGCUGCUUUGCUGACGAGUGGCGGACGGGUGAGUAAUGUCUGGGAAACUGCCUGAUGGAGGGGGAUAACUACUGGAAACGGUGGCUAAUACCGCAUAAUGUCGCAAGACCAAAGAGGGGGACCUUCGGGCCUCUUGCCAUCAGAUGUGCCCAGAUGGGAUUAGCUUGUUGGUGAGGUAACGGCUCACCAAGGCGACGAUCCCUAGCUGGUCUGAGAGGAUGACCAGCCACACUGGAACUGAGACACGGUCCAGACUCCUACGGGAGGCAGCA
rnacentral:rRNA from 1 species